rnacentral:rRNA from 1 species
UUGGGGCUGGUCCUUGUCUAUGUUCCUUGGAACAGGACGUCAUAGAGGGUGAGAAUCCCGUGUGGCGAGGAUCCCAGUUCUUUGUAAAACGCUUUCGAAGAGUCGAGUUGUUUGGGAAUGCAGCUCUAAGUGGGUGGUAAAUUCCAUCUAAAGCUAAAUAUUGGCGAGAGACCGAUAGCGAACAAGUACAGUGAUGGAAAGAUGAAAAGAACUUUGAAAAGAGAGUGAAAAAGUACGUGAAAUUGUUGAAAGGGAAGGGCAUUUGAUCAGACAUGGUGUUUGGACGCCCUGCGCUCCUUGUGGGUGCAGGACACGCUUUUCACUGGGCCAACAUCGGUUUUGGCAGCAGGAUAAAUCGUUAGGAACGUAGCUGCCCUCGGGUAGUGUUACAGCCUGGCGGAAUACUGCUAGCCGGGACUGAGGACUGCGUCUUUUGACAAGGAUGUUGGCAUAAUGGUUAAAUGCCGCC